rnacentral:rRNA from 1 species
AUGGUGGAGGGCUCCGUCCAAGACAUUGCUAACAUGAAGUUCCUCCUCUUGUGCUUCCAACAGAUGUCGGGCCUAACCAUCAACUUCGAUAAGAGCGAAGUGAUGGUUCUCGGGUUCCCCCCGGAGGAAGCAUAGGCUAUUGCGGACCGGCUAAAUUGUCGGUUGGGUUCUUUCCCCACGACCUACCUGGGGAUCCCCAUUAGUGAUUCGCGCCUCACCGUGGCGGAUCUUCGCCCCACGGUGACCCGUAUGCAACACCGCGUUGAGCCCUGGAAAGGGCGCUGGUUGUCGAAGGCUGCUCGCGUGAUCCCUAUCAACUCUUCGCUUGCCAGCCUUCUUUGGUUCCUCAUGAGCUUCUAUAGCCUCCAUGAGACCCUUCAUCAGGAGAUCGCGAAAUACCAAUCCAGAUUCUUCUGGGCUGGGGAGGGGGAUAAGCAGAAGUACCAUAUGGUAAGCUGGCCCGAUAUCUGCAAACCCAAGGACCAGGGCGGUCUUGGGAUCUUGUCCUCCCGACGCAUGAACAUUGCCCUCCUGGCCCGUUGGCUCUAGCGCAUUGCCAAUGGCGAUGGAGGUCUUUGGCUC